UAACUUUUUGAUUUUAUUACUCUUUCUAGAUAACCAUGUCUGCAGUUAGGGAAUGGGCUGCCUCUCAAGAUGCUAAGCUUCUGCAGGCUGUUGCUGUAAAUAAUUUAGGCAAAUGGAAAACUGCAACACAGAUGACUGCACUUACUUUGAUCUUGGCUACUCGAGACAGCAGUUUGUUGCCAGCCAAGGGGCUCUAGCAACUUCUGGUGUUGCUCUGCUCUAUAUAUCAGCCGGGCUUGCAGUAUGGUCACUAGUAGUAUAUAUGAAGAAAAUUUGGAAGGUGUUAAUGAGAUAAAUAGUGAUACGCUCAGAGCUUGCAUUAUGUGAUUAAUCAUACGGCCCAGCCCUAGGUUGGCAAUUAAAUCAAGGUUGACAAUCUCCAAGUCAGUGAGUUGUGCUAUGGUCAAGAUGCGGCAUCGAAGUACAAAAUACAACGGCAACAAGAAAGGAGGAAGUUUGAGUCAACAACAAGGGCAAGAUGACAAAACUCAUUAAGAAGGACUUGAGGAAAGCAAGCAACAAGCUUCUACAAUGUCUAAUUAUGGUUUUGCCAUUUUAGCUAAUUAGUCACAUGAAUCUAUCCUUAGUCUUAGAAGUCUUGAGUAUAAGUAAGUUAGUAAGUUUGGCAAUUAGGAUUAUCCAGAAAUUGAAUGUAUUGUAAUUGAGAGUUGUAGCCUCAAGCUACAUUGUGAGAUUAAUGGCCUCAAGCCAUUGCUAUCCUACUUCCAUUAAUCAAUGAAAUACUCAAGCUUUCCUCUUAAUUA